rnacentral:rRNA from 1 species
GACGAACCGUACGAACGUUAUUCGGAAUUACUGGGCUUAAAGGGUGCGUAGGCUGCGCGGAAAGUUGGGUGUGAAAUCCCUCGGCUCAACCGAGGAACUGCGCCCAAAACUACCGUGCUCGAGGGAGACAGAGGUGAGCGGAACUUAGGGUGGAGCGGUGAAAUGCGUAGAUAUCGGGAGGAACACCUGUGGCGAAAGCGGCGCACUGGACCACAACUGACGCUGAGGCGCGAAAGCUAGGGGAGCAAACAGG